AUGGCAGAGAGUAAAAUAAAAUCCAA
rnacentral:piRNA from 1 species